rnacentral:rRNA from 1 species
UGAGUAACACGUAUGCAACCUAACCUUUAACAGGGGAAUAAACCCGUUGAAAAACGGACUAAUGCCCCCAUGACACAGGGGUCCCGCAUGGGAAUAUUUGUUAAAGAUUAAUCGGUUGAAGAUGGGCAUGCGUUCCAUUAGCUUGUUGGUGAGGUAACGGCCCACCAAGGCAACGAUGGAUAGGGGAACUGAGAGGUUUAUCCCCCCACACUGGAACUGAGACACGGUCCAGACUCCUACGGGAGGCAGCAGUGAGGAAUAUUGGUCAAGUGGAGGCAACUCUGAACCAGCCAAGUCCGCGUGAAGGAUGAAGGUCUUAUGGAUUGUAAACUUCUUUUUCAAGGGAAUAAAGUGGGGGACGUGUCCUCCUUUGCAUGUACCUUGCGAAUAAGGAUCGGCUAACUCCGUGCCAGCCGCUGC